ACAGUUCUGUAACAGUUUAACUGACAUUGUUACGCUUGUCAGAUCUGUGACAGGCAUCUUUUAUCUCCCCAGAUGUCCUGAUGGCACCUUUUUAUUACAGCUGUGUUGAUUGUUGUUUUGUGAUUUGUUGAUUUAGUUCUGUGGUCAGUUUUCUGCUAACCAAGCUAGCCAUUAUACUCAGGGCUGUAGCCAGGAUUUUAGAAAUACUGAGAGUUGGACCUGAAUCUUAAAUGGAACAAGGUGUUGGAAGCCAACAACACCUCCUUCAGCCGACUUGGGAAAGCUAAAGGGCACCUUCAGAAGCUGGGUUUCAACAUAGAUGUCACCUCUCAUAAAACACGAAAGCAAGAUGAUGUCAGCAUGUCCCGACCUGAAACUACUGCUUCCAACAACAUGGCCUGUUGAAGAAAUUAACAACCUUUCUGGGAACCACCGGGGGGCUCAUGAAGCACAUGAAUAUAUGGCUCCCCCACUCAGAGUCUCGACUCCCCUGGUUCUCUCCUGUCUUCCCGCCACCAGCUGGCUCCGGUCUAUCAUCAUACUUCUCCAUCCAUCCGUCCACGACCCUGAUUUCUCCCCUCAUCCAUUCAUCCCUCACCCUUCAUCCCUAUACGCCCCUCCCCCAUCCCUCUAUCCCUCCCUCCGGACCCUUAAUCCAUCCCCUCCUACAUCAUCUUGGCUCUCCUCCAUCCAUACAAUACACAAUAUACUAUUCUAAAUCCA